rnacentral:rRNA from 1 species
UGGGGAAUAUUGCACAAUGGACGAAAGUCUGAUGCAGCAACGCCGCGUGGAGGAUGACACAUUUCGGUGCGUAAACUCCUUUUAUAUAGGAAGAUAAUGACGGUACUAUAUGAAUAAGCACCGACUAACUCCGUGCCAGCAGCAGCGGUAAUAAGGCGGGUGCAAGCGUUACUAGGAAUAACUGGGCGUAAAGAGCGUGUAGGCGGAUAUAUAAGUCAGAAGUGAAAUCCAAUAGCUUAACUAUUGAACUGCUGUUGAAACUGUAGAUCUAGAAUGUGGGAGAGGUAGAUGGAAUUUCUGGUGUAGGGGUAAAAUCCGUAGAGAUCAGAAGGAAUACCGAUUGCGAAGGCGAUCUACUGGAACAUUAUUGACGCUGAGACGCGAAAGCGUGGGGAGCAAACA